CACGGGGGGAGCAAGCGUUGUUCGGAAUCACUGGGCGUAAAGAGCGUGUAGGCGGUUUGGUAGGUCCGCUGUGAAAACUCGAGGCUCAACCUCGAGACGCCGGUGGAAACCAUCAGGCUAGAGUCCGGAAGAGGAGAGUGGAAUUCCUGGUGUAGCGGUGAAAUGCGCAGAUAUCAGGAAGAACACCCGUGGCUAAGGCGGCUCUCUAGUACGGUACUGACGCUGAGACGCGAAAGCGUGGGGAGCGAACAGG
rnacentral:rRNA from 1 species